rnacentral:lncRNA from 1 species
ACUUGUGGCUAGCUAAGUUGAGGACCUGAAGAGGAUGUAUUAAUACAUCGAAAACGUUCAUCUAAUAAAAAUUGGAGUUUUGCCAUACUGCAUGAAGUGCUGUGUGUUCUUUUAUUAAAGAAUUUAUAAUUACAUUAUACAAAUGCAAAAAAUAGGAAUAAAAUAAAGGAAAAGAUUCCUAAAGGCCUACUGAUUCUGUUACAUCUGGCAAUAUGAAAAGAAGGAAAGUAGUUGACAGGAAUUGUAAUGUUUAUGAUAUAACUUAUAAUGAAGAUGUGAAGAAGAAAACAGGAGCAGCAUGGAUUCAAUGUUGUUUUUAUAUGAUACCGUAUCAUACAAAAGGCCAAAACAAUUCAUUAGAUAAGGAUGAUGUAUUUAUGUGCACUAAUUGUGAAACAUAUUUUACAAAUGACUAAUGUCUAC